GAUGGCUCAGUGAUAGAGCAUCUGCUUUGCAGGCAGAAGGUCCCAGGUUCAAUUCCCUGCAUCUCCA